AGCUUAACACAUGCAAGUCGAACGGACCGUAUACGCAGCUUGCUGCGUGUAUGGUUAGUGGCAGACGGGUGAGUAAUGCAUAGGAAUCUACCUAGUAGUAUGGGAUAGCCACUAGAAAUGGUGGGUAAUACUGUAUAAUCCCUGCGGGGGAAAGAUUUAUCGCUAUUAGAUGAGCCUAUGUCAGAUUAGCUAGUUGGUGGGGUAAUGGCCUACCAAGGCGGUGAUCUGUAGCUGGUCUGAGAGGAUGAUCAGCCACACUGGAACUGAGACACGGUCCAGACUCCUACGGGAGGCAGCAGUGGGGAAUAUUGGACAAUGGGCGCAAGCCUGAUCCAGCUAUGCCGCGUGAGUGAGGAAGGCCUUAGGGUUGUAAAACUCUU
rnacentral:rRNA from 1 species